UUGUUGCUUUUGCAUUUUUAUUGCGUUUUUAAUGGCAUUUCUUUCCGGUACGACGCCUCCGAAUAGCCAGCAAAUGUUGAAGGCUGUCGCACAAGCUCCAGCCCCAGUUUCAGCCCCCAGCUUUAGCUUUCAGUUUUGGCAUCAGCUUUGGCCACAGAGCCAGAAUGCAUACAUUUAACUAGGCUGGGAUGUAGCUGGGAUGCCCAUGUGUGUGUGUGUGUGUGUGUGUGUUUGAUGUGGGGCAUGUGGCAUGUGGCAUGCGGCACAUGAAAACUCAUUAUUCAGGUAAACGCAGCCAAAAAAGAAAUAAAGUAAAGUAAGGAACGUGCGCUCAUUUGGCUGGAAAAUUUUACAGCAGUCCAAGUUGUUAGUGCAAACAAAGGGAAGUGUUGGAAAGAGUGUUGGGCAACAAGAAAUGACAAUUGGGCAAUUGAAGCUCACUUGAGUGCCACAGUGAAAAUCAUAACUAAUGGCAAUAAAACUUGUUUGUGUGCUUAUUAACAUUUGGCCUCGCAGCUUAACAGCAUUAAUAUGUAUGUGUAGGUACUUGAAUAUGUGUGUGAGUGCGGCGCUUAUCUAAUUGUGACCUAAAUCGCACAAAGGACCCAUUAUCUAUUAUAUCUGCUGAACAAUGAACUGAAACUACAACUUGAUUAGCUGAAACAAGCGAAAAACACACGAGACCAAACCCUAUCUUAUAUGCGGGCUAUUCUAUAGUAUAAAUUAUUGAUUUAAAACUACAGCAAGGCCAACUGCCAGCAGCGAACAGCUAACACAGUACAAAUUAUAUCCUAGCCUCUCCAAUGAGUGCUUACUGUUUGUGCAGUUCUUGUUGUUUUUGUUUUGUUUUGCUGAUGAUUUUUUGUGUUGAUGUCACGCAAAACUUAAUACCCAAAGCCAAUACGAAAAGCGAACGGUAAAUAUACGCACACACACACACAUACACACUCAUACAUAGACGUACAUAAAGAAAUAAAACAAACAGGGAGCAUUAAAGUCAAUGAGCGCAAAAAAGAGAGAGGAGCUUUUGUAACAGACAAAACUACAGCCGCCGCCGCAGCAGCAAAAKAAUCAACAGCAACAACAACAACAGAGCUAACAGAAAAUAACCGCAAAAGAAAAAUCGUUAAAGCAGCAAUAAAUUGUGUUUUUAUAAGGUAAAUAGAGCAAAGCCCGUUGAGAGCCAAUUGAAGGCAGACCACAAAAUACAAACAGAAAACAGAACAAGAAAAAAAGAAACAGAAAACAGAAACAGAACUGAACAGCCAGACAGAGGGACAUUUUGAUGGGAAUGUGAGGCGUUCCUUGGGGGCUGCUUGGACCGAGCAGCUCACGCAUGACAGACUGACCCAAGUUACGGCCCAAUCAGACGCACACAAACACACACACACUCAUGCAUAUAAYGUAAAAGUUUGGCGCGCGUUUUUGUUGUUAAAUUCUUAACGUUUGACAUGCGUCUACGUAUAAAUAUGUGUCUGUGUAUCUGCGUGUGUGCCUGUGUGUGUGAGCGCGUCUCUUGCGCCUAAUUUAUGGCAAAUUCACAGGUGCGCAUAUUACUUGCGCCCUGUCAAAGACGUCGCGCUGAGCUCUA